UAAAAAAAAUAAUAUGGGCAGUAGUCAUCUCAAGCUUUUCAUCCUCUGUUUUCCAUUAUUCGCUGAAACCAAUUUUCAUUGCCUGAAGGGCUCUCUUUUCACAACCAGUUAACAAAUCACAACAUUGCACAUUCUCUAUCGAAGGCUGAAUUGUUUUGAUCAUUUGUUGGAGCCCCGAUCCGACGGGGUGGCGGUGGCCCGAAACAAUCGGGUCUAUAUCCGAUUGUAAAUCAAAAAGACAUAAUAAUAAAAAUAAGCGGAAUCGAAAAACAAAUACAUACAAAUAGACAAUCCCAUAUAUCAUCACUCAAAUUCCCACGCCAAAUUGGAUUUUAUAUAUAGUCAAUUGUUUUUACAAAUUAAUAUAUCAAAAAUAUACAAUAUAUAUUUCUUCAUCGUUGUUCGUGAUUGCAUCCCCAGUACUUACUUCUCCAUCGUUUUAAUCCUCCAACAAACUAUCACGGUGGAACUUCAGUAUUUAUUGAGUUAGGAGUGUUGUUUGAAGAUGUUAUAGCUUUAUUGUCUAAAUUUCCGGGGGCAGUUUUGUCCCAUGGGGCUCGCUCUAUAUUUUUAGCGGCCCAUGGUUGGCAAAGCAUGCUCUGCGGUUAGACGAUGAGCUAUCCUGGUUCGAGGAGGUUCCAGCGCUGGUGGCGGACGUGGGCGUCGUAAAUUCAUGAGUGAUUUAGAUCACUUUGUCAAAAAAAAAA